CAUCCUGCCCCGAUCCGCUUCGUCCAUGCGUCGGAGCAGUGCUGACCCCCGCCCCGGGGUUCCAGACUCCACUCCCGCCUUCCUCUGACUCCCCGGACCUCCCACUCCCGCCCGCCCUCGGGAUCGACUAGAUCCCUCCCUCUCCCCGAGGAUUCCGGCUGGAUCUCUGCCCCUGCACCGCGGAUCCUGCUCUCCCGGGCUUCGGGCCCCUGGGGAUUGCGGUGGACUCCUCCUCCCGCACCCGAUUCCUUAGGAUCCUCCGCCUGUACCACCUUCUGGUCCCUCGAAGCCGGCCCACGGAGCCAGUGGAUCCUCAAUCCAGUCUUGUCCCGUAGCCUCCUCCUCACUCUACUGUCCCCACUGCGGGGUUCCCUGUUCUCGGGUUCCUCCUGACCCCAUCCCCUCCCCUCCCCGGGGAUCGACUGGAUCCCGGCCCCGCCCCCUGGGGCUGGGGCGAUCCCCCUCCCCCGCUGGGUGAGGCGCUGCGGGCGGGGGCUGGGCCUGCGGGACCGCGGGGGCUCAGAGGCCGCCGCCCCCUACUCGGAGCCCUGGAUGGAGGCACCACGGCCCCAGGGCUGAGCCAGGUCCAGCCUGCAUUCACCUUCUCCCUCUUCCUUCCCCUUCCCCACCCCUUGCCCCCUCCAUGGAAAGGAACAGACCCCUUCUCUGUCCAGUCUAACCCAGGUCCCUUUCCACGCCCCUUCUCCCUCCUUUCCCACCCCCUCCUCCCUCCUGGGGCGAGGGGGGGCCUCCC